rnacentral:rRNA from 1 species
UGAGAUAUGACCGGCCCGCCCCCGCAAGGGACGCGGACGAAGCGUUCCGUAGGUGAACCUGCGGAAGGAUCAUUA